rnacentral:miRNA from 1 species
ACUGAAAACUUGUUUGGUAAGACC